AGCAGCCGCGGUAAUUCCAGCUCCAAUAGCGUAUAUUAAAGUUGUUGCAGUUAAAAAGCUCGUAGUUGAAUUUCGGGAUUGGCGCAUCCGGUCGUGCCUCACGGGGUAUGAACUGGUGCAGUCAAUUUCUCACCUUCUGGAGAACCGCGAUGUCCUUAAUUGGAUGACCGCGGGGAACCAGGACCUUUACUUUGAAAAAUUAGAGUGUUUAAAGCAGGCAUUUUUGCUUGAAUACAUUAGCAUGGAAUAAUAAAAUAGACGGUCAUGGUUCUAUUUUGUUGGUUUCUAGGACCACCGGUAAUGAUUAAUAGGGAUAGUUGGGGG
rnacentral:rRNA from 1 species